rnacentral:tRNA from 1 species
GGUGAGGUGGCCGAGUGGCUUAAGGCGGCGGUUUGCUAAACCGUUGUACGGUGUUAUAGCCGUACCGUGGGUUCAAAUCCCACCCUCACCG